GUGCCUUAAACUAAUGAGUAAGGAAAAUAUAGAGCUUUGGUGACGCUUGGCUCAGCUAGCAAACCUAGCCCAUAAUUUUUAAUUGGGUACAGGUCGUCCCUUGAGUGGCCCGUCUACUUUUACGGGCUGUUCUGGUGAAGCGAUCUGCCCU